CCUGGACAUUUUGUCUACAAUAAGAGGGAAAUCAGAAAGGAUAAUAAGAAUUGGGUAGAGGGGGGGAGAUAGGGAAAGAGAGAGAGAGAGCAAGAGACAGAGACACAAAGAGUGCAACAGAGAAAGUCUACAAGCGGUACCUGGUUUAUCCGGUAAUACACUAACUUCAAUUAAGUCAAUUCUGGACGUCUCUUCACAAAGUGCCUCACCCUGAUUGGCCAAAAGUCAUGUCACACAUCACCAGCUGAUUUGCAUAGCAGGUGGGGCCACCCACCCGCAAUCCAUGAUUGGCUCCGAAGUUUAUACUAGGGGCCUCAAGGUUUGCCAUAGUUCUGUUUUUCUUAUUCCCUAAAAGUUCAUUAAUUGAUUGGUUGAUUGAUAGACUAAUCGAUCAAUCAGUUGAUAGAUUAAAGUGGUAUAUCGGCUAUUAGUAUUCCAGGCCUGAAUCAUUCCCUGAUUAGAGGGGAAGGAUGAUGAUGAUGUUGAAGGGUAUUACUGUACUGUUACGCAUUCACACACACACACGCACCCACACACCUUUUCUCAGUGUCAAUAGUGGUGUUGCUGGUGUUAUGCCUGGGUGAGUGUGUGUGUUAGAAUGUGACCUAUGUUGAUCUCUUUUCCAUCUAUACAUUGGCUGGCCUCCAACAAACUUCACACAUUCAGCAGCAAUGUUUCCAAACACUAAGGCCAGAUCCCUUCCUUUCCUUGUCUCCUUUCCUUGUCUCCACCACAGAUCUGAAAGACCACACCAUAUGAACACAAUAUGAUGGAACUCUAUCAACCUACCAGGUCUCUCACAUCUCAGUCAUAACAAAGGAAAGGAAACAACCAUAACCAGCAGUAUUAGAAUAUUGGGAAACUGUCUAAAUCAUACCCUGGGCACUGGCAUGAGAGACCACUGAA
ensembl:lncRNA